rnacentral:lncRNA from 1 species
AUAUAUAUAUAUAUAUAUAUAUAUAUAUAUACAUAUAUCUAUCUAUAUAUAUACAUCCAUAUAUGUAUGUAUAUUCAUGCACCAUGAGACACUGUUCUUGCUGCUUCUCAAAAGGCCUAUUUGCAUGCUGAUAUAAUUGUGACACUUAGGGCAGAAAGUGGGCCGGGCAAUGCGCCCCUACCCAAACUUGUCCUGAUUUUUUGGGGCUUUGGGCUGGGCUUAAGAACAGAUAUUCUAGGCCCGAGCCCUACUUGAGCCCUACUUGAACUUGAUUGAGCCGGCUCGAAUCAUCUGUUUGGGUCAAAUAUAGGACCAGUCUGACCCAUUGAAGUUUAAUAUUUCAUAAUAUUGUUUCACAAAUAAAUGAGCUUGUUAACAAUUAGGCUCUUUUCUAUAAUACAAGUAAAUAAUACAUGAUACAUUAUUCUCAGCUAAACUUAUUUUAAUUUAUUAUUUAUUUUCUCAUUAUUCUCUUUAAAUAACAAUAUACAAAAAUAAAUUGAUUUGGGCUUGAUUUUGGGCGCCGUUUUGGACCUUGUUAGGGCUUAUUCUCGGGCUGAGCCGGGCCAAUGACAUACCUAAGCCUUGUUUGAAAACAAAUAGUUCUACAUUUAACCCUAAACCCGAUUUGAACUCUUUUGGCUGUCUCCAAGCCUGGCCCUAUGGUUUCGGACCGGCGUAAUCCAAUUUCCCACUCGAGCGGCGCUGCAUCCAGAUGCUGUUUAUAUGAACUGAAGCAGGAAGAUAAGAGACACAAUCAACAAAAACAUGAAAUAAACUAGAAGAUAUGAUUACCCAAAUGUGUCUACUUGUAGGAUGAACCGGUCAUGGUAAAAUUGAAGCCCCAAGUAGUUGUACACAUGGACCUGAGGGACAAGCAGUUAUGGCCAACUUGCUAACGUUCCAUUGGAUUGAUGUUAUCGUUCCCAACUUUCAUGAUAAUAUAUGAUACAAGUUUGCUCUUCAGAGGUUUUUACUUUGCUACGGUCUCUGUCUUCAUGUAUUUUCUAUUUUUGGUCUCUCAACAUUCUUAAACUGAAUCACGUUACUUUUGCCUUGAUGCUGCAAAUCCCACUGAACAUUGUUUUCAUUCAGAGUAGGCUACAAACCGGGAACUCGGUUUUGCUUGUUACUGCAUCAUGAAAGAGUCGAAUUUCGUUGGCUAAAAAUUUAUCAAUGACAUUACAAUAGAAACUAAGGGUGCAAGUGGAUUAGAUACUAUCCAAUUUUCUUAUCCGAAACUAUUUGAAUAUGAAUAGAAAUUUUUAAGCAUCCAACUAAUAUUCAUAUCUGUAUUCAUAUCUAUAUGCGUCAAAGAAAAAAUAAAUAUAUAUAUGGAUAAACAACUCUCCGUAUCUGAAUAUUCGAUUUCAUUUAUAACCCUAUUUAAUUUUAUAUAAAACUUUUAAGAAAAACAAAUGGUCCUAUUUUUCUUGUGCUGCUUCCUUGUAGCAUUUCUCGAAUAUCGUCUAAGUUAGCAUUAUCUAAUGUGCUAUUAAUUUGAUUUAUUAUCCAAUUAAUAAUAUAUUUGAUUCUGUGGUUAUAAAGUUUAAUUAUUCAAUUUAUAUUCAUAUUUAUAUCCAUAUUUUUGAUAUCCAAUUUGCAUAUAUAUCCAUUUAAAACAAAUAUAGAUAUGAAUUUUUGCAUCCAACUACCAUCUGUAUCCGCAUCUAUAUUCAUCUGAUAAAAUAAAUAUGGAUAUAGAUAUACUAGUAUCCGUUCUUAUUUUGGCUUUGACGAAACCAGUCAAUGGAUAUAUUCAUCAAAUUAUAUAGGCCAACAGAAACUGACCAAUAUGAUCAGAGCUACAUGUUGAUCCUUCUCAAUUACUCACAAAGAGUGGUUCUGAACUAAUCCUUCUCUUGCUGUUAGGGAGUUUGUAACUUUAGAUGGUUACAGAGUCAUUUCCUGGACUAAUACAAAAAAUCCGUAAGAAAACAUCUGAUACACGAAAACAAAGUGAUGAAGUAUCUAAUGGUUGCAUUAACCUAUCAAUCGUUUGCAUAAUCUAACUCAUGAGGUGAACUAAUUACAAUAUAAACGAUGACUAGUUCCCAAUUUUUUGUAUUUUUUUACCAGAAAGUUCCAUUAGAUUUUGUAAAUUUCUUCUAAAGAAAGACUUCCAGAAGUCUCGUUUUAAUGACGCAUCAGCAGUUAAAACCCUAGCAAUCAUUUUGGGUGGACAAACUUAGAAAAAAAAGAUGAUUUUUCAGACGCUAGAGGAUUAGAUAAAAUCGCGCUAUGCAUCCAAAAACGAUCCAAGCUCGAAGAAUUGGAGACGUACCUUGCUUAGAAGAAGAUCGAAAUCCAAUGCUCGAGCCGAUGGCCUCCGCCUUCC